rnacentral:tRNA from 1 species
UAUUCUGUGGCUUAGUUGGUUAAAGCGCCGGACUAACGAUACAAAGUCAUGGGUUCGAAUCCCAUUAAAACAA